ACAUGAGUGAUCCAGAACCCUGCAGAAUGAAACACACUGAAGAUACUGAAGAACAAAGAGACCUGAUGGACAUGAACAAGAAAAGAAAGCUAAAAAAAUGUCAAAAAAGAUUCACAUGUAAAUCAAGGCUGAAGAUCCACAGCGGAGAGAAACCUUACACCUGUGAUCCAUGCAGGAAGAGUUUCUCCGUUCUGAAAUCAUCUGUCUUCUCAUUCUGAAGAAGAGAGCAGAAAACUCACAGUGAUGAAAAACCUUUCAAUCGUUCAGGAGCUGAAGAAGAGACCACUUCUAACAGAGACAUGAAUCUGAAAUUAAUGUUUAACUCGUUCUUCAUUGUUUUUCACUGAUGUCUCGUUCAUUUUCACUUUACUUAAUUUUUGUUCUUCAAGUAAUAAUAGAUUAAACUCAUUACUCAUUUUAUUUACA